UACGGAGGGUGCGAGCGUUGUCCGGAAUCACUGGGCGUAAAGGGCGCGUAGGCGGCGCGGGGAGUCAACGGUGAAAGCUCGGCGCUCAACGCCGAGUCGGCCGUCGAUACUCCCGUGCUCGAGCACUGUAGAGGCAGGUGGAAUUCCGGGUGUAGCGGUGGAAUGGCGUAGAGAUCCGGAAGAACACCGGUGGCGAAGGCGGUUCUACUGGGGCCUGUACUGGACGCUGAGGAGCGAAAGCGUGGGGAGCGAACAGG
rnacentral:rRNA from 1 species